GAGACAUGGUUCUCAAAUCCUGGUGUCCUCAGAAUCACAGGAAAGCCUACUGACGAUGCAAAUUACCAAGCUCCAGAGAGUCUAACUCUAUCAACUUGGGAUGGAGUCCAGAAAUUCCAGAUGAUCCCAAAGCUGAAUGAGUCCCAAACCUACACUCUGCAAAUCCCUGGCUUACAGCCCCCUGGCUCCCUCUGCCCAUCCUUUCUAAUCAUCCACUUCCCAGACCAGUGGUCUGUAACUACCGUGAGGACUCCUAAGGUGGCACAGAGAUGUUUCAGAAGCCCCCAAGAGAAAGGGGUGGCCAAGCUAAGGAUUUACACACAAACACACACCUUUUCUUCCCUAAAUUUAAAGGGUCCCAUUAACGUCUAAGAGUAUGUGUGUGUAUGUAUAUAUAUGUAAUUUUUUCUUUUUUGAGACAGGGUCUCACUUUAUCACCCAAGCUGGGGUGCAGUGGCGCGAUCUAGUCUCACUGCAACCUCUGCCUCCCGGGUUCAAGUGACUUCUGCUUCAGCCUCCUGAGUAGCUAGGAUUACAGGCAUGCACCACACCGC
rnacentral:lncRNA from 10 species